rnacentral:misc_RNA from 1 species
GAUGAAGAACGUAGCGAAAUGCGAUACGUAAUGUGAAUUGCAGAAUUCAGUGAAUCAUCGAGUCUUUGAACGCACAUUGCGCCCUCUGGUAUUCCGGAGGGCAUGCCUGUCCGAGCGUCAUUGCUGCCCUCAAGCACGGCUUGUGUGUUGGGCCCCGCCCCCCGAUCCCGGGGGGCGGGCCCGAAAGGCAGCGGCGGCACCGCGUCCGGUCCUCGAGCGUAUGGGGCUUUGUCACCCGCUCUGUAGGCCCGGCCGGCGCCUGCCGAUCAACCAAACUUUUUCCCAGGUUGACCUCGGAUCAGGUAGGGAUACCCGCUGAACUUAAGCAUAUCAAUAAGCGGAGGA